CCUACGGGUGGCAGCAGUGGGGAAUAUUGGGCAAUGGGCGCAAGCCUGAUGCAGCAACGCCGCGUGAAGGAAGAAGGCUCUCGGGUUGUAAACCUCUAUUAUCCGGGACGAAACACACGACGGUUCCGAAUGAAUACGCCACUGCUAACUACGUGCCAGCCGCCGCGGUACGACGGAGGUGGCAAGCGUUCUCCGGAUUUACUGGGUGUAAAGGGGGUGUAGGUGGGGGAGUAAGUCAGAUGUGAAAUUCCAGGGCUCAACGCUGGAACUGCAUUUGAGACUGUUCUUCUUGAGUGCUGUGGAGGCAGGCGGAAUUCGGGGUGUAGCGGUGAAAUGCGUAGAUAGACGGAAGAACACCGAUGGCGAAGGCAGCCUGCUGGACAGUAACUGACACUGAGGCGCGAAAGCGUGGGGAGCAAACAGGAUUAGAUACCCUAGUAGUC
rnacentral:rRNA from 1 species